rnacentral:tRNA from 1 species
GGGGUUGUGGCUAAGCGGUAGAGUGCUCACCUAGCAAGUGUGAGGCCCUGGGUUCAAUCCUCAGCACCA